GAUGAACGCUGGCGGCGUGCCUAACACAUGCAAGUCGAGCGAACGGACGAGAAGCUUGCUUUUCUGAUGUUAGCGGCGGACGGGUGAGUAACACGUGGAUAACCUACCUAUAAGACUGGGAUAACUUCGGGAAACCGGAGCUAAUACCGUAUAAUAUUUUGAACCGCAUGGUUCAAAAGUGAAAGACGGUCUUGCUGUCACUUAUAGAUGGAUCCGGGCUUCAUUAGCUAGUUGUUAAGGUAACGGCUUACCAAGGCAACGAUGCAUAGCCGACCGGAGAGGGUGAUCGGCCACACUGGAGCGGGGACGCGGUCCAGGCUCCUGCGAGAGGGAGCAGUAGGGUACGGGACGCAACAGGCGGAAACCUGGCAGAGUGACGGGACGCGAGAUGUGGAGGUCCUCGGAUCGGAAAACUGGCUUAUUGGGGAAAAACAUAUUUGUAAGGAACUGUGCACAUCGUGACGGUACCUAAUCAAAAAGCCACGGCUAACUACGUG
rnacentral:rRNA from 1 species